GUUCCCUCUUGUGUAUGUAUAUUUCAUUUUGAAUUACAUAUCACAUGUGAACUCUUGCUGUAUUUGUUUUCGUGUUGCUAUAUUCAGAAGCAUUACUGAAUUCUAAUUCGUAGAAGUUGUAUAAGUAAAUAUUAGCAAUGAAACUGCUGGAUUAUGAAAAUCAGGUAUUUCUUGAACUUAUUGAAGAAGAUGGACUUGUCAUUAUGGCCAAGGGACUUGGAAUUGAAAGAUUGUUGUUAAGUCUAAUAAAAGUUUACAAUGAUCCGGGUAAUCUGAUUUUAAUUAUUGGAACUUCACCACAAGAAGAGGCAAGUAUAUUUAAUUUUAUACAGAUUUAAGUAUUAUCUGUUUAUGAGAUUCCAAUGCCAGUUGAAGAAGGAAAAGUAGUAAAAACAAAAGAACACUUUAUUAAAAACUGAAAAGAAAUGAAAAAAAAAUUUAAUAGGGUCUAAACUAAUACA